rnacentral:misc_RNA from 1 species
CAGAAUUUCACCCAUGACUACAAGUGAGUCACUAUGGAGCUUUAGCUUUCUAAGAGUGCCUAUUUGGAAGUAGCAAUAUUGCACUAUGCUUGAUGUUUCACAAUCUCAUACAUUUGCUUGAUAUGCUCUUAUUUACACUACUGCAGGACCAUAGUCUCAUUAUGUAUAGUGUAACUAUUUCAAUUGUUGUUCUCUGAUUCUUGGUUUACCGCUUUUUAUAUGUCGUUAUAAUUAGGAAGAGAUGACAUUCAGCCUCUGCAGCUUAAUGGUAAUUAGGAACAAUAUCUUUCCUUUGAGUUUUUUUCAAUAGAAAAUGAUGUAAAUCAUUGCUUUUGGGUUUAUAUAAACAUCUAACCCACAGGUUUAUCAUGAAUUGUGCUUCUUGGACCAUGUAUAUUUUGAAAUAUCUUUUGCUAAGCAUGCUUUUAAAAUCUUUAGUUUUGCAUAUGAUCUCACUAGCAUUCAAGUUUUUCAACAACUCUAACCACAGAGUAUUGCUUUGCAUUAGUUGCUUUAACACUUAGACCUUGAGGUUUUGUUUGAUUGGUGAUUUUUUGCUAAAAAUUACUUGAAAUGGUUCUUCCCACAAAUGUCUUAUUCGUUAUCCUCACUUCACAAACAAAAUACUUUUCUUCUUGUAAGGUUUAUGAUAUGUAGAGCCUGUUCAUUCCAUUUUUUUAAACUCAUCUUUUUUCUCCUUCUCUUUUAGCUGUUUAAUUUAUCUAUUGCUGGUCUUACAUUUACUUUAUUAGUUGCAACUAAAUUUCAUUUUCUGUACUUUG